GGUUCAAGAGGUACACGUGCAAUUUUCCACUUGGGCAAAUUGCAUGUCGUGGGGCUUUGGUGUACGGGACAUUUUGUCAUUUAGGAGAGGCUCAAAGAGUGAGAAAAAGACAAAUGCAAGAAUCUGGAUCCAAGAGUCCUGGCUAGCAGACGAGAUAAGGAUGGUGGAGUAUUAACACAUUGCAUUCGAAGCAGUGCAGUGGGAAGGGAAGGUAGAGAGAAG